AGUGAACGCUGGCGGUAGGCCUAACACAUGCAAGUCGAACGGCAGCACAGUAAGAGCUUGCUCUUACGGGUGGCGCGUGGCGGACGGGUGCGGAAUACAUCGGAAUCUACUUUUUCGUGGGGGAUAACGUAGGGAAACUUACGCUAAUACCGCAUACGACCUACGGGUGAAAGCAGGGGAUCUUCGGACCCUGCGCGAUUGAAUGAGCCGAUGUCGGAUUAGCUAGUUGGCGGGGUAAAGGCCCACCAAGGCGACGAUCCGUAGCUGGUCUGAGAGGAUGAUCAGCUAGAUGGGAACUGAGACACGGUCCAGACUCCUACGGGAGGCAGCAGUGGAGAAUAUUGGACAAGGGGCGCAAGCCUGAUCCAGGCAUACCGCGUAGGUGAAGAAGGCCUUCGGGUUGUAAAGCCCUUAUGUUGGGAAAGAAAAGCAGCAGGUUAAUACCCCGCUGUUCUGACGGUACCCAAAGAAUAAGCACCGGCUAACUCCGUG
rnacentral:rRNA from 1 species